UGAGUAAUCUGCCCUCGACACUGGGAUAGCCCGGGGAAACCCGGAUUAAUACCGGAUAGCCUUUCGAGCUCUCGGGCUCGUCAGAAAAGGAUGGCUUCGGCUUUCGGUUGAGGAUGAGCUUGCGGCGGAUUAGCUUGUUGGUGAGGUAACGGCUCACCAAGGCGACAAUCCGUAGCUGGUCUGAGAGGACGAUCAGCCACACUGGGACUGAGACACGGCCCAGACCUCUACGGGAGG
rnacentral:rRNA from 1 species